UACGGAGGGUGCAAACGUUGCUCGGAAUCAUUGGGCGUAAAGCGCACGUAGGCGGGAUGGCAAGUCGGAUGUGAAAGCCCUCGGCUCAACCGGGGAAGUGCAUUCGAAACUGCUGUUCUUGAGUGUCGGAGAGGUGGUGGAAUUCCCGGUGUAGAGGUGAAAUUCGUAGAUAUCGGGAAGAACACCCGUGGCGAAGGCGGUUCUCUGGGACGGUACUGACGCUGAGACGCGAAGCGUGGGAGCGAACAGG
rnacentral:rRNA from 1 species